GUGCUGAAGGACCGCUUUUCCCCUCAAUCUGCCCUGGACUGAUACCAGAAUACAAAUGUGCUACAUGUGACUGACCACAGGAGUUUGACAACACCUGAACUGCUCUUUGCCCUGUUCAACAAGGGGAGUCUACUGGCCAUUUGAGAAGCCUGAGCCUCAGAGGAGGAAGUGACUCCUUUCAUUUAUGCUGCUGGCAUCUGGUGAAGCUUGGUCUUGGCAUUCAGAGUCUUGUUCCGUCGCCAGACACCAGGCUGGAGUGCAGUGGCGUGAUCUCAGCUCACUGCAACCUCUGCCUCCCGGGUUCAAGCAAUUCUCCUGCCUCAGCCUCCCGAGUAGCUGAGAUUACAGCUCCCACAGAAACUCUCUGCACCGCCCCGCUGCAGCCAGGGUUGAGGGAGGAGUGGUGUCAGCGAUUCAGGACUGUUUUUCUAUCUCUUCAGUGCCUCUUUCAGUGAUAUGAAGUUAAAACCAGGUACUAUGAGUGCUCACUUUAUUUGGGGUUCUCAUGAAGGUGUUUUUUCUGUGUAGAUAGUUACUAACUCAGUGUCCUUGUGGGGGUGGAUUGGGGGGGCAAUGGUGGAAACUCUUAUUCCAUCAUCUUGCAUUUCCUCUUUUUUCCCUCUCUAAACAGACCAGAAUGUGCCUCUGAAUGCUAUUUUUAAUUUAUUAAAUUAAAAUGUGAAAGUUAUGAUUUAUUACUUGGUAGGCCUCGAUAUGUUAUUUUUUUUCAUUCUCAUUAGUUAAUAAAGAUGCCAACUCUUAACUAAACUGAGAAAAUUUACCAAACUGCAUGUCAGUUAAACUUAGUUGCUUUGAUUUGCUUUGUUUUGGCUUUCUUUUAUCCCUUUGCAUUUUUAAUAAUGCAAAGGAAUAAAAGGAAGUAAAAAAGUACAUUGAAAUAAUGAGCAUUGAAAUAAUAAUCCUUCUAUGAAUUCAAGCAAUGCAUUCAGAGUGGAGUCCAUGGUGUACUUACCCUCACGUCCUGGCUGUCCGUCUAGUGAACAACACUCGUGCACACUCUUAAUAGUAGCUGAGAUAGGCAUUUAGUUUUUUGAGCAAGAAAAGACACUUUAGCAAGUUAGGGAAGAAAGAAGUAUUCUAUUUCUAUAAAUGUAUGCAAUGUUGUUUGACACAUCAGCUAUAACUACCCUUUUAAAACAUCUACUAUGUGUCAGUGCUAUGCAAAGUAUAAUGUGGCUUAUUUAAAAUUUCUGCAACAGGCCGAGCAUGGUGGCUCAUGCUUGUAAUCCCAGCAUUUUGGGAGGCUGAGGUGGUGGAUUGAGGUCAGGAGUUUGAGACCAGGCUGGCCAACAUGGUGAAACCCCAUCUCUACUAAAAAUACAAAAAUUAGCCAGGCAUGAUGGUGCGUACCUGUAGCCCCAGCUACUCAGGAGGCUAAGGUAGAAGCAUCACUUGAACGUGGGAGGUGGAUGUUGCAGUGAGCUGAGAUUGAGCUACUGCACUCUAGCUUGGGUAACAGAGAGAGACUCUGUCUCAAAUAAAAA
rnacentral:lncRNA from 1 species